CAGCGCCGCGGUAAUACGUAGGGUGCAAGCGUUAAUCGGAAUUACUGGGCGUAAAGCGUGCGCAGGCGGUUAUAUAAGACAGAUGUGAAAUCCCCGGGCUCAACCUGGGAACUGCAUUUGUGACUGUAUAGCUAGAGUACGGCAGAGGGGGAUGGAAUUCCGCGUGUAGCAGUGAAAUGCGUAGAUAUGCGGAGGAACACCGAUGGCGAAGGCAAUCCCCUGGGCCUGUACUGACGCUCAUGCACGAAAGCGUGGGGAGCAAACAGGAUUAGAUACCCGUGUAGUCCCUGUCUCUUAUACA
rnacentral:rRNA from 1 species